rnacentral:rRNA from 1 species
GACGAACGCUGGCGGCGUGCCUAAUACAUGCAAGUCGAACGAGAGCAACCGGUGCUUGCACUGGUCAAUCUAGUGGCGAACGGGUGAGUAACACGUGGGUAACCUGCCCAUCAGAGGGGGGUAACAUCCGGAAACGGAUGCUAAAACCGCAUAGGUCUUCGAACCGCAUGGUUUGAAGAGGAAAAGAGGCGCAAGCUUCUGCUGAUGGAUGGACCCGCGGUGCAUUAGCUAGUUGGUGAGGUAACGGCUCACCAAGGCCGUGAUGCAUAGCCGACCUGAGAGGGUGAUCGGCCACAUUGGGACUGAGACACGGCCCAAACUCCUACGGGAGGCAGCAGUAGGGAAUCUUCCGCAAUGGACGCAAGUCUGACGGAGCAACGCCGCGUGAGUGAAGAAGGUUUUCGGAUCGUAAAACUCUGUUGUUAGAGAAGAACAAGUGCUAGAGUAACUGUUAGCGCCUUGACGGUAUCUAACCAGAAAGCCACGGCUAACUACGUG